GUCCCUACGGGGCGCAGCAGUGGGGGAUAUUGCACAAUGGGGGGAACCCUGAUGCAGCGACGCCGCGUGGGUGAAGAAGCGCCUCGGCGCGUAAAGCCCUGUCAGCAGGGAAGAAAAUGACGGUACCUGAAGAAGAAGCCCCGGCUAACUACGUGCCAGCAGCCGCGGUAAUACGUAGGGGGCAAGCGUUAUCCGGAUUUACUGGGGGUAAAGGGGCCGCAGACGGCGAUGCAAGCCAGGAGUGAAAGCCCGGGGCCCAACCCCGGGACGGCUCUUGGACCUGCGAGGCCGGGGU
rnacentral:rRNA from 1 species